rnacentral:rRNA from 1 species
AUUGAACGCUGGCGGAAUGCUUUACACAUGCAAGUCGAACGGUAGAGGGGCAACCCUUGAGAGUGGCGAACGGGUGAGUAAUGUAUCGGAACAUGCCCAGUCGUGGGGGAUAACGUAGCGAAAGUUACGCUAAUACCGCAUACGAUCUAUGGAUGAGAGCGGGGGAUCGCAAGACCUCGCGCGAUUGGAGUGGCGGAUAUCAGAUUAGGUAGUUGGUGGGGUAAAGGCCUACCAAGCCGACGAUCUGUAGCUGGUCUGAGAGGACGACCAGCCACACUGGGACUGAGACACGGCCCAGACUCCUACGGGAGGCAGCAGUGGGGAAUUUUGGACAAUGGGCGCAAGCCUGAUUCAGCCAUUCCGCGUGCAGGAAGAAGGCCUUCGGGUUGUAAACUGCUUUUGUACGGAACGAAACGCGCUGAGCUAAUACCUCGGCGUAAUGACGGUACCGUAAGAAUAAGCACCGGCUAACUACGUGCCAGCCGCCGCCGUAA